GUGCCAGCCGCCGCGGUAAGACGGAGGGGGCUAGCGUUGUUCGGAAUUACUGGGCGUAAAGGGCGUGUAGGCGGUCGCUCGUGUCGGGCGUUAAAGACCUGGGCUCAACCUGGGGGCUGCGUUCGAGACUGGGCGGCUGGAGUCCGGGAGAGGGUAGCGGAAUUCCCAGUGUAGAGGUGAAAUUCGUAGAGAUUGGGAAGAACACCGGUGGCGAAGGCGGCUACCUGGCCCUGGACUGACGCUGAGGCGCGACAGCGUGGGGAGCGAACAGGAUUAGAUACCCUGGUAGUCCACGCCGUAAACGAUGGGUGCUAGCUGUUGGGGAGCCUAGCUCUUCAGUGGCGCAGCUAACGCGUUAAGCACCCCGCCAGGGGAGUACGGCCGCAAGGUUAAAACUCAAAUGAAUUGACGGGG
rnacentral:rRNA from 1 species